AGAGUGAACGCUAGCGGCGGGCUUAACACAUGCAAGUCGAGCGGAGAGACUAAAAAAUGUUUUAUAAUGCUUGCAUUAUGGAAUGUUUAUUAGAAUUUUAGCGGCAGACGGGUGAGUAAUGCACGGGAAUCUACCUCGUAGCGUGGGAUAACAGAGGGAAACUUCUGCUAAUACCGCAUAUAACCGAGAGGUGAAAGGCAGCAAUGUUACUGCGAGAUGAGCCCUUGUAAGAUUAGCUAGUUGGUGAGGUAAUGGCUCACCAAGGCUACGAUCUUUAGUUGGUCUGAGAGGAUGAUCAGCCACACUGGAACUGAGACACGGUCCAGACUCCUACGGGAGGCAGCAGUGGGGAAUAUUGGACAAUGGGCGAAAGCCUGAUCCAGCAACGCCGCGUGAGUGAUGAAGGCCUUAGGGUUGUAAAGCUCUUUUGGUAGGGAUGAUAAUGACAGUACCUACAGAAAAAGCCCCGGCUACUUCGUGCCAGCAGCCGCGGUAAUACGAAGGGGGCUAGCGUUACUCGGAAUUACUGGGCAUAAAGCGUGUGCAGGCUGAUCAGAAAGUCGAAAGUGAAAUCCUUGAGCUUAACUCAAGAACUGCUUCCGAUACUGCUGAUCUUGAAUAACAGAGGGGACAACGGAAUUCCUAGUGUAGGGGUGAAAUCCGUAGAUAUUAGGAGGAACACCGAUGGCGAAAGCGGUUGUCUGGCUGAUUAUUGACGCUGUUACACGAAAGCGUGGGGAGCAAACAGGAUUAGAUACCCUGGUAGUCCACGCAGUAAACGAUGAGUGCUGGGUGUCGGAUUUAUAUUCGGUGCCGAAGCUAAUGCGUUAAGCACUCCGCCUGGGGAGUACGGUCGCAAGACUAAAACUUAAAGGAAUUGACGGGGACCCGCACAAGCGGUGGAACAUGUGGUUUAAUUCGAUGCUACGCGAAAGACCUUACCAAGUCUUGAUGGUGAUCAUAAGCUAUCUGAGAAACUAGAUAGUGCAUUUAGUUGGAUCAUCACAGGUGUUGCAUGGCUGUCGUCAGCUCGUGUCGUGAGAUGUUGGGUUAAGUCCCGCAACGAGCGCAACCCUUAUCCUUAGUUGCCAACAGUUCGGCUGGGAACUCUAGGGAGACUGCUGAUGAUAAAUCAGAGGAAGGUGGGGAUGAUGUCAAGUCAGCAUGGCCCUUAUGACUUGGGCAACACACGUGUUACAAUGGCGAUUACAGAAGGCUGCAACAGGGCAACCUAGAGCUAAUCCUUAAAAAUCGCCUCAGUUCGGAUUGUAUCCUGCAACUCGGAUACAUGAAGUUGGAAUCGCUAGUAAUCGCGGAUCAGCAUGCCGCGGUGAAUACGUUCUCGGGUCUUGUACACACUGCCCGUCACGCCAUGGGAGUCGAUUUUGCCUUAAGUAUGUGAGCUAACCGCAAGGAAGCAGCAUACCAAGGUAGGGUUGGUGACUGAGGUAAA
rnacentral:rRNA from 1 species